AGAGAGAGAGAGAGAGAGAGACAGUGCUUAUAAGUCAGAAAGAAAUAUGAAGCCAAAAGCAAACAAGCAGACAUUUUGACAAAGGACUUUAAUCAGAACUAGAGAAAAUGAAAAAUUCUUGCCAAUAAAAAGGUGCACCCCUUUCACAGAAGAAAACUAUCCCAACCAAAACCGUAAUGUCUAUCUUUCAUCUGAAGUCAAUAAAU
rnacentral:misc_RNA from 1 species